rnacentral:rRNA from 1 species
AUUGAACGCUAGCGGGAUGCUUUACACAUGCAAGUCGAACGGCAGCGCGGACCUCGGUCUGGCGGCGAGUGGCGAACGGGUGAGUAAUGUAUCGGAACGUGCCCAGUAGCGGGGGAUAACUACGCGAAAGCGUAGCUAAUACCGCAUACGCCCUACGGGGGAAAGCAGGGGAUCGUAAGACCUUGCACUAUUGGAGCGGCCGAUACGGCCUUAGCUAGUUGGUGGGGUAACGACUCACCAAGGCGCCGAUCCGUAGCUGGUUUGAGAGGACGACCUGCCACACGGGAACGGAGACACGGCCCAGGCUCCUACGGGAGGCAGCAGUGGGGAAUUUUGGACAAUGGGGGCAAACCUGAUACAGCCAGCCCGCGUGUGCGAUGAAGGCCUUCGGGUUGUAAAGCACUUUUGGCAGGAAAGAAACGUCGCGGGCUAAUACCCCGUGGAACUGACGGUACCUGCAGAAUAAGCACCGGCUAACUACGUG